rnacentral:rRNA from 1 species
UACGUAGGUGGCAAGCGUUGUCCGGAUUUACUGGGCGUAAAGAGCGCGCAGGCGGUCGUUCAAGUCGCGUGUGAAAGCCCCCCGGCUCAACUGGGGAGGGUCACGCGAUACUGAUCGACUCGAAGGCAGGAGAGGGUAGUGGAAUUCCCGGUGUAGUGGUGAAAUGCGUAGAUAUCGGGAGGAACACCAGUGGCGAAGGCGACUACCUGGCCUGUUUCUUGACGCUGAGGCGCGAAAGCUAGGGGAGCAAACAGG